CACCACAGACACAAUGUCUGUCCUGUGGGAGUAAAAGGAUGGUGACCCUGGGACUUGGCACAGCCCUCUGUGGUGCUGGUGGCCCUGCAGUGCAGUGGCACAGUCAGCAGCACUGCCAGCCCCAUUACCUGUAGAUAAACAGGUACAUCUCCUUGUAGUUCUCCCGUCCCAGGGGGCCACUGAUCUCGUAGUCGUAUGGGGAUGUGGAUGCACUGCAGAGACAAAAAGGCAGGACAGUGAUGUGGCUGGGACCGCCCUGGAGUGGCUUGGGCAUGUCCAGGAGCUAGGUGGCCCCAGGGUUUGCACCAGCUGGUCCUGUUCUACAGUCUCCAUGGGUCUCUCUGCCCCUGGUUGUGGGGUGACAUGAGCUAUAGCAGCUCUGAAGCCCCCAGUGCCUCUCCCCCAGGUCCUCCUUGAGCACAGCAUGACAUGUGGUGGCUCCUACCACCCUUUCUCUGCAGGAACAUUCCUCACGUUCAUUUUGCAGCACAGCUAAAUUGGGUCAAUGAGCAGCCUGGGGCUCUGCAGCAGCCAGCGUCACCCUCCCUGCCCUGGCUGCUUUGUGGCCAUGCUGGAGGGGACACGGAAGGGGUAGCUUGGCUUUCCUUGCUGGUGCUGCUGCCCCAGCCCCUCUGGUACCUGUUGAGCUGCUCCAUGAGCUCGGUGACGGCGCUGAGGUCGGAGUCGCGCACCUCCUGCACUAGCACCACGUCGUAGCGGAGCAGCACCUGCAGGGGACAGCUCAGGGCCAGUCUGCCACCCAGCUCUCAGCCAGGUCUCUGGCACAGGAGCUGUGCUGGGGCUGGUCCCAGAACACAGCCCAUCCCCACAGUGCACUGGCUGCACUCACGUUGAUGAUGAUCUCUGCCACUUCCUUGUUGGACAUCUUGGUGUCACCGAAGGCCUGGAUGUUGAAGGCACCGAUGCGCAGCAUGGCCGUGGCUGGGCACAGGAGAGCCACAGCCAGCAGGGACAAUUCCAGUGUCACAGUCCCCAUUCUUCCAGGAUCAAUGCUGGAUCACAGGGAUGCUGGGAUGGGAGAUCAGCUUGGAACACUAUUUUGGAUUUAGG